UGGAAUCGCUAGUAAUCGCGGAUCAGAAUGUCGCGGUGAAUACGUUCCCGGGUCUUGUACACACCGCCCGUCACACCAUGGGAGUCGGGAAUGCCCGAAGUCAGUGACCCAACCUAUUGGAGGGAGCUGCCGAAGGCAGGUCUGAUAACUGGGGUGAAGUCGUAACAAGGUAAC
rnacentral:rRNA from 1 species